CUAACAGUGAAAUGAAGGUCUAAGUUUCCAUGGAAAUGAUAUGAAUGAUAUGAAAAAUGAUACAUUGCAUCAAGUAGAUUCCAGAAUACUUAAUUUAUGAAGAACAGUUUUGAUAUUCUUAAAGAACUGGAGGUGUGCCAACACUAAUGCUAGUUUACUGUGAACUCUUCCUUCUCCAACCCUACCUCCCAUAUCUUGGCUCUGAAAGCUUCUCCAGCUGAAUCAGUCUAGCAGCUCUUGGUGAAGAGGGAUUCUCCUUUCCAACAACUUCAAAUUUCAACCAGGCUUUGCCAACCAGCAUAAGUUAAUUAAGCAGCUUUACACUCUUCUGCCUGUCCAUGUGCUCUUCAAGAAAGUUCUCAGUAUAAGUACUAACACAGUAAGAAUCCGUAACCUCUGUUUUGUACUGCCAUGCCUCACCUGCAAGGCUGCUCUAGAUCCACACUGCUUUCCCAGUUAAUUGAUUUCUUCUUAAUCAGCCCAAGGUUUAUUUUUGGGCAAUUCAUAUCUAUUGUUAUUUUGGGGAUUAUGUGCCAACUAGUGCAGAAGGGCCAGGUACUGGAAAAAAAUAAUUUCACAGAAUCUUACAUUGCC
ensembl:lncRNA